UACAGAGGUCUCAAGCGUUGUUCGGAUUCAUUGGGCGUAAAGGGUGCGUAGGCGGCGCGGUAAGUCGGGUGUGAAAUCUCGGAGCUUAACUCCGAAACUGCAUUUGAUACUGCCGUGCUUGAGGACUGGAGAGGAGACUGGAAUUUACGGUGUAGCGGUGAAAUGCGUAGAUAUCGUAAGGAAGACCAGUGGCGAAGGCGGGUCUCUGGACAGAUCCUGACGCUGAGGCACGAAGGUCAGGGGAGCAAACGGG
rnacentral:rRNA from 1 species